UGGGGAAUAUUGGACAAUGGGCGAAAGCCUGAUCCAGCCAUGCCGCGUGUGUGAAGAAGGUCUUCGGAUUGUAAAGCACUUUAAGUUGGGAGGAAGGGCAGUAAGCGAAUACCUUGCUGUUUUGACGUUACCGACAGAAUAAGCACCGGCUAACUCUGUGCCAGCAGCCGCGGUAAUACAGAGGGUGCAAGCGUUAAUCGGAAUUACUGGGCGUAAAGCGCGCGUAGGUGGUUCGUUAAGUUGAAUGUGAAAGCCACGGGCUCAACCUGGGAACUGCAUCCAAAACUGGCGAGCUAGAGUAGGGCAGAGGGUGGUGGAAUUUCCUGUGUAGCGGUAAAAUGCGUAGAUAUAGGAAGGAACACCAGUGGCGAAGGCGACCACCUGGGCUCAUACUGACACUGAGGUGCGAAAGCGUGGGGAGCAAACAGG
rnacentral:rRNA from 1 species